rnacentral:rRNA from 1 species
UACGUAGGUGGCAAGCGUUGUUCGGAAUUAUUGGGCGUAAAGGGCGCGUAGGCGGUUCGUUAAGUCAGUUGUGAAAGCCCGGAGCUCAACUCCGGAGAGUCGACUGAUACUGGCGGGCUAGAGUACGGAAGAGGUAGCUGGAAUUCCCGGUGUAGCGGUGAAAUGCGUAGAUAUCUGGAGGAACACCGGUGGCGAAGGCGGCAUCCUGGACCGACACUGACGCUGAUGAGCGAAAGCCAGGGGAGCAAGCGGG